GGGCGACACCACAACACCCACGUCCCCCUCUCUCCACUCACGUGGCAGUUUUUCUCGCCGCUCAAACCCACUGUCCAAAUCCACCACCACAAUCCCCUCGCCCACUCGCAGAAAUCCACCGUCGCUUCGUCGAUUCUGCGUGCCGCACUGCCGGAGGUUCGCCGGAGAUUUGGAAGGCGUUGGACAAGGGGAUGCGUCCGCAGGCGCUGCUUCUCUGCGAUCCAGGGGGAUCGAGGAUCUCGGGCAACUGCUCGUGCCGCGUCGAGGCGUUCCUCUACACCGUCGCCGACGCUGCGGUGGCGGCCGCCCCGGGGGCCGCGGCGGUGGAGCGCGGGCCAAGAAGGCGGCCGCGGCCGGGGACUGGUUCGCAGGGAUACACCGGCUCCAUGGAAACCGCCUUCAAGAACUUGCCCCAAAAGAAUUGCUGGGGCAUGCGUUGUAGGGUGAUUUCUCACCCCGUGUCAAGCUCGAGCUGCAUCGUUGAAUCAUAUCCUGCCUGCUGGUCCUUUGGGUGGGUGUGUACAACAGGGUCAGCAGCAGUUUGGUCUUCAGUUUCGUCCGUCAUGUUGGCUUUAGGCUUGUAGCCUAGUAGUGUUGUAAAUAUCUGAAUAACUUGGUGGCUUCUUACAAGGGAGGUGGACAUGGAUGGAUGUUGGCUGCCGGCCAGCCGAUGAGGUUGCACAACAUGCAGUGCGCCAAUGAAGAAGCAACGGAUUUUCACUAGUACUCCUAGUAUUAUUGUUGGCCAAUUCACGGGGGGCGACGAUGAGGGAUGGACGAACAAGUUGUGGCGAGUGGGAGAGACAAGGGGACCUGUUCACCGCUGCGAGGGGGAUGUCGAAGGAACCAAAAACGGAAGCUAGCACAGCGACACCAUGUUCAUUUGUCUGUAGGAGUGCCUCACUAAAUUCUAAAACGAUGUCAAAGCAACAUUUUCGAGGUUUUAUGCACUCGCCCAAGCAAGAAGCUUCAACAUCCACUUCCAGCAUGACUUGCUGUUUAUUUUCUCUGUGCAAGCAAGAAGCUUUGCCUAUCACUUUCAGUGGGGAAAAUGGCUGGGACGAGCAAAAAAUGCAAUUGGCAGCAACAACUUGCGGACGCUCCUGACCAUGAUUCAUCUCUUGACCAUGAUUCAUCUACUACCUUUGAAGAGCAACAAACAGCGGGAGGAAUACGGCAAGCUGUGGGGAUCAGGGCACACCCCAAGCUAUCCAGAGAGAGAGGUGGCGCAGGGGAGGUUGUACAGGAAGCGUGAUUGGAAACUGACCUUCAAGUGCUCAUGGGGUGGGUGGAGGAUCCUCAGAGUUCCAUGUAUAUAAGAUUCAUGGCAGAAGAUGGAGAAGGGAGGGAUGGGUAGAUGGGGAAGAAAGGCUGGAGGAGGAGCGGGGGGUUGGACUGUAUGGGAAGGGAGGAAGGCUGCAGAGUUUUUGUGGCGUGUGGUUUUUUUUGUUUGACUAUUUCUUGUGGCGUGAGAUUCACACUGUAUUGCGGGACUGUAUUGUGGGAGGAGGUAAUCUGUCCAUGUGAGUGAUCGAACCGUUUCUUUCCUCUUUUGGGCGCCAGCUAGCAACAGGGGAGGGUCCACUGCCUUAUUUAGGCGUGUGCCCUGGACCGCUAGCCAGCCAACGGCUGCUGGCUAGUCGCGUCCAUUAGUAUUUCA